rnacentral:tRNA from 1 species
UAGACCUUAGUUCAUCAAAGAAUGUUUGACUGUUAAUCAAAAGGAAACAAAAGUUAGGUUUAG